GAGGCGAUUAAACACAGUCAACUCUGUGCCCACACACCAGACACACUUUGUUUCAUCUGAUUUGACACAGUUUUUUUUUGUAGGUGUUACCUAGUCUGCCACCAUGAUACAUCCUCUGAUCAUCGGCAUCAUGACCGUAAACACAUCUCUGACCGUCUUUUACUGGGCCUUCAUCCUGGGCGACGCUUACCUAAAGUGGAUGGUAGAGCCAGAGGACAAGCCCAAGAAGAUAGUGACCCCAGCCUGAGCGCCGCAGCAUGGAUGCACCCGACUGAGUGACUGGCUGCUGUUUUUGCUUAGGACUAGUCUGCAGGGGCUUUUCAGCUUGUAGUGCUUUCUGUGGAGAAGAAUUCGUUCUGAUUUCAGCUUUUUUUUUGUACCUGGGGAAAGUUGUCUUUUCAAGUAAAUGCACCAGGAAUCUUCCUAACAGAGAUACCACGAUAGAGUUUAAUUCUGUUUGGAGUCCCUUUUGUUCCCUGAUCAAAGCAAAAAGAUGAGCAGCGGUGAUUUCUCCUGACCACUGAUUGGAUAUUUGGCCCUAAAGCAGUGGAGGAGGAUCUGGAGAGAGAUGAAGCAGAAAUAGAGGAGGAGCGGCGACUCAGCAUUUCCAGUAACCUGAUGGAGUUCAGAGACGAGCUGAGGAUGGAGAAAGAAAGGGAGAUGCUGCUACCGGGCUUCUACCAGGGAGUUGGGGGCUGCCACCACCCGUCUCCCCCUCCUCCGCUGAGAAGUGCCAUCACUUCAUCUUACCCUGGAGAAAAAAGGAUGUCAACUCAUAGUGUGACCUUUGCCUGCCCUGUUGCCCCUUGUGUCACCUCUCUCUGAGUUUUCAUCAGUUCAUCUCAGCAGCAGCUCAGAUCAGUUUUUAAUCAAAUGUAGUGUUUCCAGUACUUUCCUUGCUGUAGUCAAAUAAGAAAUGUGUAGUUAUAGUUUGUGCUCUUUCUUGCUCUCUUUUAUUUUCAUUUUUAAUUAGGGUAAGUAGGUUAACGCAGCCCAUAUCCAUAAACUCAGUCAAGUUCCACCAUGUCACUAUGUAAUAUCAGAAGUGUAAAAUAAUAGUUUAUUAUGUGAAAAUGAAUUGAUUUCAGAUGCAAGUCCUUUGUUCAUCACAAAUGUUUCAAAAGCAAUUGUUGACAAAGUAGAAAGGAAAAUGAUGAAAAUCUGCUCAUUUAAAAAAUUGUUUAUCACAUGUUACUGAAAACCAGAGUGAUCACUUUCCUUGUCCAGGUGAACUAAGCAUUGUCCCGGUAAAUAAACUAAUAAUAUAAAUGA